rnacentral:misc_RNA from 1 species
GUCAGAGGUCACCACCUGGAGGAAAGCCCACCAUCGUCUGCUCGAAAAGAAAUUGUCCGUAGAUGAUAUCAUAAAAUAUCGUAAUGGUUGGUUGAAAUUGCUGACAUGGAAGGUCUUGCACUGAAAAUUGGCAAGCUAAGACAAAUUAUCAAUAGGAUUUGCUCUGUAGGGCAGGAGCAAAUAAGUGAUCAUCAACUCCAGGAGAUUCUGCAGCAGAUUAAUCUGAUAUUCAACCACAUCAGCAAAUGUAGAUUUUGUGGCAAUUUCAUCAGUGACACAUUGGAGUUUGUAAAUAUAAUAAAUAACGUUGCUGAUCUGUCACCCACAGUCAAAUCUGAAGUCGUAUCCAGCUGCAUUGUCCAAAUUUUGGAGCUAAUCACCAGAGGAGAUGUCUCAUUUGGCUUUAAAGUUGAGAUCCUCAAAUUAACCAAUGUGUUACUGGAAAACUGCCCAAAUAGUACGAAAGAAAGUUUGUUGACACAUGCAGUCUUUGAGAAGCUAAUUGUAAAGUUUGGGAGACAGUUGGAUACUGUUGGUGACUAUGAGUACCAGGUUGGGUUGAUUGAAUGCUUAUUCAGGAUUAUUCCAAAGAAAUUUCGUCUGAAGUAUGGCAAGCUUUUGUUCAGUGAUGCAUUGUUAUUGGAACAAUUCCUUGCUAUCAAGGACCAAGAUUUUGAAACCGAUUGCAGAACUUUUCUGAAUGAUUACAACAGUGAUGCAAGUCAGAAACAAAGAGUGAGGUCCAUUCCCUGCAUUUCUGCAUUUCUUGGAGAUCGUGAGCUUAAAAAACCAAAUGAUCCUGGUUAUGAUUACUUUUGGGUGGAUUUCAACUAUGGAAGUGGAAGACUUACAAUUUUCUGUGAAGAUUACAGUGCGGGCAGUCAGGAUUUUUCUGAUGACGGAUCUUGGGAAACCCUGUCUGUUUGGAAGUCUGAUGUGCAGCGAUACAAAGUAACUGCUGAAGAAGACUGUCAUCAUCUGGAUGUUGAGCUUAUAAAUCCAAUUCCAACUUUGUAUCCAAGUCAAACGGGUGUCUCGGGUAAGAUAGUGUCAUUUACCUUUGACAGUGUGUGGAGAAUGGAAGAGGCUGCUGUACAAACAUUUGGCGGUGACAAAUGGUUCAAAAAGCCUUCAAAAACAAAGGUGUCUUUACCUACCACUUCAGUAUGUGUAAGAGCAAGUGACAGCCCAGAUUUUGAAAUGGAUAGUAACUAUGAUGAACUGGAUGAAGAGAUUGGGACUUUUCAAGAGCCAUCUGUAGACCAGGAUUGUCUACCAAAAUUCUUCAUGCCAGCACAACCUACCAGGGUGAAAGUAUCUGUGCCAUGUGUUGCUGUUGUUGUAGACAGUUCCCAGAAUUCUGUGAUGGAGCCAGCACAAGCUAUUGCUAUGAAGUAUGUGCAGUCAUUGCAGGCACAGGGAAUAGGUAACAACACCUCUGAACCAGAGGAGGGAACAUGUCCAGAUGAUGAUCUCGAAGGUGUAUCCCUUGGUGAUGAAAAAUCCAGUCCUAUUUCAUCUAAGGUGUCUGAGCCAGUAUCAUGCAUUAAUCUGGGAUUUGGAAAUGUGGCGAAAAAGGCUCAUCAAAAAUCUGCAGGAAUACCUACCCCUAAAACGCCAACCAAUAGAGGUCUAUCGAAAGUGAAGGUAAAAACACCUGUAGCUGUAUUGACACCAAAUGAAGGUACAAAGAGCAGGAAGACUUUGAAAAAGAAACUGUCAACAGCUAAACCUUCAAGAAAAUCUUCUAAAUCUCAAGAAAAACAUGCUAUGAAAACAGUAGCAGCGAAAGAAAAUGAAUCCAUUUCCUUCCCUGAUUCUUGUCCAGGAAAUGAUGACAACAAAAAAGUACAUGCUGAACAGAAGACCAAAACAAACUGUCAGAGCAGAGCUAACAUUGUCCAGAAAAAGCAGCCAUGUGAUGCUAAGAGACCAAGGAAAGCUAAGAACAAUUCUUCAAGUAGCACCAUUUCUGAUACAGCUGUUGACUCUGAACCUAAAGACAAUUCAACUGAAAAUGCUUCAAACAAAUCAAAAGUAGAACAACUGAAGACUAGAAAGCAGAGGAAUGCCCAAGAAAAGGAGCAUGAUAGCAAUAUACUUAAAACUGUUCAAAAGAAAUCUACAGAACUUGAAGCUACCAAACAGGACUUUGCAUUUAGUUCACAAGACAGUCUUAUCAAUGAGAACACAUGCGAAGAGAUCUAUUCCAUGGAGCAGGAUGGCUUGUCUUUCACAGAAGAAUGUGACAAAGAUGUCCAGUGUUCAAUGAAAGGCUCUGAUAACAAAACAUCUAAAGUGUGUGCAGAAAAAGACAGUCAACAUUCUUUUACAACUAAUGUAGACAAUACCAAUAGAAAGAAAAAAGAAAAUUCCAAAGUUAUCAAAGAAAAAGAACAAAUCUCCAAGAAGAAAAGAUCAAAAUCAAAAAGAGGAAAAGACCUGAAAAUUGAUAAAGAUAUACCUGAUCAGGGGAUCCAAAAUGAUAAUGAAGUUGAUGUUAUUCAGAGCUCUUGUGAUUUUGAAAAGUUUGAAAAUGGACAAAAAUCCAAAACUGCAAAUAACAAUGAACCUGUUGACCAAGAUUUUAACUGUGGAGUGAACAAAAUUGCUGCUGACAAUAAAAAAGCCCAAGAAAGAUCCAAUGAUAAAAGCAAAAACAGAACAACUAGCAAAACUAUCUCGGAAAAGUCUGACGCUAGCGUUUUAGAUUGUGAUACUGAAGAUUUCAUUCAAAACAUGAAUGUCAGUGCAACAUUUGGAAAAGGAAAUCGUAAAAAGAAAUUAAGCAAAUUAAACAAUGCUCAAGAUGUUGACAAAAUGAUUGAGCAAACAAAAACUGGAUACACUUGCUCUGAUAAUGAUAACCCCAUUGAGGAUUCAGUGGAUACCCCUACAAACACUUGUACAGCUGUGAACUCCAAAAAAGACCAACAUUUGGAGAAAACUGAACAGUCAAAGAAGCAAUUAAACAAUAAGGGCAAUUCAAAGAGAGUUGAUCUGGAUAUUUAUGAUUUCAACGAAGUGGAUCAGAUGAGUAGGUCUUUCAUUCAAAGAAAAGGAGCAAAUUCUGGUAAGGCUGACAAACUUGUUGAAUGUGAGAUUGAUGUGCAAAGUGAAAAUGAUAUACCAGCUCCGUCUACAAAUAACGGUGUGGUUCUCGAAAAGAAAUCGAGGAAAAUAGGAAGAAAGAAAGACAAAAAAAUGAAUAAAUCUGAGAAUGAGGAAUUAAACACUGCAGCGAACUGUGACAAAGACGCUGCAUGUAAUCAAACCAAUAACAGUCCAAUUUCACAAACAGACAAAAGGUCAAGAUUAAAGAAGGUGAGGAAAGCAGCCCUGGAAACUGACGUCACCUCAACAGAGCAUAGCAGUAGGAAAACAAGGUCAGGUAGGCAGAGAAAACAAACUACCACAAAAACCUGUGCCAAGGAAUCUCAGGGUGACAAGGAAAUAGAAGUGAUACAAAGCUCAGUUGAUGCUGAAAAUGAUGGAGAUUUAGACAGUAGAACAUCUGUAAGGAAUGAAGACAAAUGUGUUUUCAAAGCCAAUCCAUUUGCACAGCCAGCAAAAGGAAAGCAAAAUAGGAACAAACAAUUACUGGUGUCAACACCAUUUAAAGAUUUUGAUGUUGAUGUGGAACAUUUAAAUGGAGAAAAUGAAGAAAUUCUUUCAUCUAUACAUUGCAGUGACAGUAAUGAAACCAAAGGUUGCAUGGAACAAUUAGAAAAACAAAAUGUCAAAGAAGACAAAAAUAUUUUGACCAAAAAGAAAAAGCAUGGAGUGGGUCAUGUAGAGAAGGAAAGUUUGGAUAAUGACAAACAACCAAAUCAACUAACAGGAUCAGUGCAAAAAGGAAAAUGUUCUUCAAAAAGUGGCAAAGGCAGGCCUGGGAGACCAAAACGGAAGGCCUCAUUAAGAGAUGAUUUGGAGGAUGAGGAGACGGGCGGUAAUUCACAGCUGAAAGAAGAUGUACUGUCAUUGUCCAAGAAACACCCAUCACAUGGAAAUACUGUUACGAGUAAGAAGACCAAAGUAGACGAAUGUAAUAGUGAUGUUCAUUGUGAAGAUGAUUUACAAAGUACAGAUGAUGGGUUGGUUUCUAAAAAGGGUUUUGAGAAAGCAGAAGCAAGAAAGGAGAGAAAAUCAAGGAAAUAUACGAAUGUGGAAUUAGAAGAUACAGAAGAUCAAAAUAACAAUAAGCAAACAAACAAGAAUCCUAUUAAAAAAACAGAGAAAAGGAAGACAAGGCUAAACAAGGGUAGACACACAGCUCCAGAAACAACAGCUGACAUCAGUUCAGUGAAACACAGCACUACAGAAACAAGGUCGAAUACGCAGCGAAACCCUGCUGUCUCCAAACUUCCUACAGAGGAAUCUGAUACAGAAUCUCAAGAUGACAAUGAAAUAGAAGUAAUACACAGCUCCUUUUCUCCUGAAACUGGUGAAGGAGUUUUGAACAAUAGAAAGUCUAUAAGAAAUGAAGAUAACGAUGUUUCUGAUGCACCUUCAGACAAGGAGCAAAGAUUGGCUCAUGUCGCAGGAAACAACCAUGUCCAAGACGAUGGACAAAACAAGCAACAGUCAGGAGGAGAUGUGGAUGAGGAAAUUAACUGUUCACCACCAGAGGAGAGUUCACUUGCAUUGUUUAACACCAAUCUGUCACAAGGGAAGGCCAUCAAAUCUCUCAGCCAGAGGAAGUUCUUCAAAGAGAGAUCGGGAUCAUCAACAUAUGAGAGACACGACAUGCAGAGUGCUUGUGUGUCUGCUGCUGGUGUUCAGAGGAAAAAAUCUUGUGAGGUAGAAUAUGGAAGCAGCAAAAAUCAAGUAUAUUUAGCAAUGUCAUACUCUUCAACUGACCGAAUCAAUUUGCCAUCGGAGAGAGGCGAUACUGCUGGAGAUCCAUACGACUUUGACAAGGAAUGUGAAAGAUCUACAAAAUCAGAAAAAAAUAACAAGACGAGGCAGGAAGACAAGUCAAAAGAUAAACAAGGAAAAUGUCAAACUCAAACUCAUUCCAAAAAAAAUGGUGCUUUAUUGAAAAAGAAAAAAUCUGCUUGCAAAGAAAGCAUGGACCAAUAUUUAAAGGAGAAACAUGUGACUGCUUCAGACUUUGUUGCAAAAAAUAAAAGGUCAAAGCCAGGUCACAACAAAGAUACAAAUUUAUCAAACUUAUCAAAAUGUUCAAGAAAAAAUGUUGAUGUGGUGAACAAUUAUACAGCUGAUGGUAUAAGCAACAGUGAGCAAGAUUCAGUUUGUUUAGAGAGUCCAGCUUUGUGUGUUCCGAAAGAAUUUUCUAGUAAAACACAAAAAUGCCAAAAGAAGCGUCAAAAGAAGCGCCAUAAAAAAGAAAUUACUGAAAAAAAUGUAAAUCGAUUGAUGGGAAGACUUUUAGGGAAGAAAAGAAAUGCGAGCACCUGCCAAGAUUCAAAUGAAGAGGAAGAGUAUGAUCAUCAUGAUGCACUUUGUCUUUCUAAAGGUGAUUCUGCUAGUCCAGUAAAAAUCCCAUACUGCGAAAUCACUCUUGAUGAAAUUGUCGGUGUUCCAAGACUUCACGGAGAAAACAAUCAUCUUCCAUGCUUCAAACAUCAUGAACAUCAAGGUAAUCAACAAAAGAGAGCACACUUAGAAAGCCCUAAAACCACUGAUACUGCUUAUAGAAGUGACUUUCACUUUGGAAGAAAACAGGAAUCCGUCGUUAAAAAUCAUAACUCUAAAUCAGUGACUACCAAAGGUAUGAAAAAGACACAAAUCAAUGAUGUAAGGAGAAGACACUUGGAUCAGUGGCCCAGUACAAAGACCCAGACUUCCUUUACUGAUGAAAUUGAAAAUAUUGACUCGGAAAGCUCAGAUGAUCAAUUAUGCAGGUCUGAUGAUGUUAGCUUGGAGGAGGAGCUGCCACUUGAAAACAGUAUCAUUACAAGGUUUAAUCAAUUUUGCAAGAAAAUGGUUGGAGAGCUAGAAGAGGAUGUACCUAUAGACAAGACAAGAAAAGAAACAAGCAGGACAUUGGAUUGUACAAAUAGGAGAAAAGAGAUUCCAGCAUGCAGAAACAACAAUGAUGAUGAACUGAACAGCACCAAUGAACCUAGGACUCCUAAAUUUGUCCUGUAUGAUCCUGAAGAUCAAGUGGAGAUAUGUAGUAUCAAAACACCAAUGACACUACCUUGCAGUGAUAUUGAGGGUAGCCAAGAGGGUAGUAUACCUUCAGACGAUUUACAGAUUCAGCCUCUGCAGGAAAGUUCAAAAGCAGAACGUAACAGAAACAGAGGUAACAGGUCAUUGCAGGACACAAAAAACACUGAUCUUUCAGGAAUUUUAUCAGGAUACUCCUCAGAAAUAAGACCUUCCAGAACAUCCAUGAAGAGAAAAUAUGAUAUUAUGCUUCAAUGUGAAGAUGACGAUGAUGUGUACAGAAACAAUCAGAACGCUGGUUAUGAUCUGUCAGAUACUUUGGAAUUGGAAAUGUGCCAUCUUAGACCGAGGAGACUGUUCAGUUCUGAUUUUAAAGCUGUUGUAGAAAUCACUGGCAGUAGUGAUGAUGAAGAUAAAGAAGACGUGUAUGGUCGAUCACAAGCAAGCAGUCGUAACACAGGAUCAAACGAGUUGAUGGGUGGUUCUACGAGUCACCUUGAAGGCAUCAGUGUGGAUGCUGGUGUUUCAGGAAUUGUCAAGGCUUUUGGAAUGGAUUUCAAGAAGCAAAUGCAGACAAAACAACAUUGCCUAGAUGUGCUGUCAAAAACAGUCCUGAAGUCAAGUCAGAAACAUUUGAAAAAUAUGUUGACAGACAGAACAGAAAGAAGGGCAAGUAUAAUGGAAAGGUUUGGUAAAAAGUUACUGGCCGAGCUGACUGCACUUGGUAUCGAUGUCAGAACUCUGGAAGAUAACGAAGCGAAGACUCUGGACUUUUUCCAGCAGCAAAUGAAGAAUAUUAAUAAAUGCAGAAUUUCUCAAGAAAAAAGACUGGAAAACUUGAGAAACAUGCAGCUUGACUUUGUGGCAAGCAUGUGUCACAUGGACCAGUAUGAAUCCAACCAGCAGACAACAUUUAAAAAUGCAAUGAAGAAAGACCUGACCACAAUGCAGAGGAAAUUGCUUGCAGAUGCACAAAGACAGGAACUUACAACUGUAAGAAGAAGCCUUCACACAAUGAUUGGAUAGAAUGUGGUAGUUUAGUUGUAUAUAUGUGCCUAGUAGUUUAGUUAUGUGUCUGGUAGUGGUAAAUAUUUACAAGCUGCCAUGAUCGUAAUGGCUCUACAUCUGUCCUAAGCUAUACAAUUGUGCUCUCUUUGAUAUAUUUAUUAGAGGUAAAUUCAAAAUAUAAAGAAUGAGUUUGGGUUUGAGACGUUAAGAUAAGUGACAAUGAGUUUGGCUUUGAGACGUUAAGAUAAGUGCCAAUGAGUUUGGGUUUGAGACAUUAAGAUAAGUGAAAAUGAGUUUGGGUUUGAGACGUUAGCAUAAGUGACAAUGAGUUUGGGAUUGAGACGUUAAGAUAAGUGACAAUGAGUUUUGGGUUUGAGACGUUAAGAUGAGCGACAAUGAGUUUGGUUUUGAGACGUUAACAUGAGCGACAAUGAGUUUGGGUUUGAGACGUUAACAUAAGUGACAAUGAGUUUGGGUUUGAGACGUUAAGAUAAGUGCCAAUGAAUUUGGGUUUGAGACGUUAAGAUAAGUGCCAAUGAGUUUGGGUUUGAAACGUUAAGAUAAGUGACAAUGAGUUUGGGUUUGAGAUGUUAAGAUAAGUGACAAUGAGUUUGGGUUUGAGAUGUUAAGAUAAGUGACAAUGAGUUUUGGGUUUGAGACGUUAAGAUAAGUGACAAUGAGUUUUGGGUUUGAGACGUUAAGUUAGGUGACAAUAAGUUUGGGUUUGAGACAUUAAGAUAAGUGAAAAUGAGUUUGGGUUUGAGACGUUAAGAUAAGUGAAAAUGAGUUUGGGUUUGAGACGUUAAGAUAAGUGACAAUGAGUUUGGGUUUGAGACGUUAAGAUAAGUGACAAUGAGUUUUGGGUUUGAUAUGUUAAGUUAGGUGACAAUAAGUUUGGGUUUGAGACGUUAAGAUAAGUGAAAAUGAGUUUGGGUUUGAGAAGUUAAGAUAAGUGACAAUGAGUUUGGGUUUGAGAUGUUAAGAUAAGUGUGAAAAUGAGUUUGGGUUUGAGACGUUAAGAUAAGUGACAAUGAAUUUUUGGGUUUGAGACGUUAAGAUAAGUGACAAUGAGUUUUGGGUUUGAGAUGUUAAGAUAGGUGACAAUGAGUUUUGGGUUUGAGACGUUAAGAUAAGUGACAAUGAGUUUAGGAUUGAGACGUUAAGAUAAGUGACAAUGAGUUUGGGUUUGAGAUGUUAAAAUAGGUGACAAAGUGUUGUAUAUUUGAUGUGGUGACUUGAUGUGAAAUGAUUGAAAAGUACAAAUAUUUUUUUGUCAUAAUAUUUUCCCAUUGAAUUACAUAUAUAUGAACAAAUUUCAUCAGAUUUCUUUAAGCUGAAUUGCUGUUGCUUUAUUAUUUUAAUGAAUUUGUCACAAAUAUUAAAUAGUUGUGUAUUUGUAACUGGUCAAAAUAAAUAAAAUUAUUUCUGUAAAGUACCUUUUUGUACAGAAUAUGUUUGAUGAACUGUUGCACAUUCAAUGAUAUGUCUUAUAAAUGAAGUCCAUUGUCAGUAUCCUAUGAUUGGUUAUGAGAUAUUUAUUUUUUCAUGUCCUUGUUCAUUGUUAUAGGUUUGUA